CUCCUGUUGUUGAGAGGGCCCCUUUGGUGUAUUCCAGGCUUUCUGGAGAUGACGUCCCCCUUCCCUGGAAUCUGAGAAAAGCCCUGAGCAUCCCAGGUCGCCCCCUCGCAGGGAUCUGGGCCACGAGGCCUUGGCCUGGUGUGUUGGGGGAAGUAGCUCUCUGCGUGCCCUUGGUGGUGUGCAUGUCUCUGGGACUGGGCUUAGGUGUCGCCUCCCUUCUCGGGUCACAGGAUGUCCUCCACUUGUGGCUCCGCACUGGGGCUUGGUAGAGUCCUCCGUGACAGCUCAGUAGUGCAGGCUGCGGGCCUGUCCGGCUAGUGUGGGAGGACUGGGUGCUCCUUCCAGCUGUGGGACUCGCAGAGGUGGCUGCGGCUCUCUGGGCUGCAUCAUCUGCAUAGCAGGAGCAUUCACCUUGGCCCUGCCUCCACACAGGGCCAUUCACCAGCCAUACAUCUCUGGCCAUUUACAAUCUCUUUUCUUCGGUUUUCCUCAGUGAAAAUGGACUCAUGGUCGUAUCAACCUCUUAGGGCUCCUGUGACGAUGAACUGAGUUAUGUAAAUUUAGCAAUCAGCUACCAUCAUGGCCCCAUCUUUCAGUGGAAUCAGACCAGGCCAGGGGUGCUGUCCUCCCCGCUCUCUACCACAACGAAUGUCUCUUAGCCGUUUACCAAAGCCCUCGGGCGCCAGAUGAGUGUAGGUCCUGCCGCAGAAAGGAAUUAGAGCCCAGUAGAAAUUAGGCAGAAGCAAGUUCAACUUCAUCAGCAUGUAGAAUUCUCUCCUAAAAUCACAGCCCACUCUGGAAAGGCCUUCUUCGUGGGGAGGGUUAUGGGAGGGUGGGCUGCAGGGUGGCCAUGAGACCAGCGUCCAGGGGUGAGGAUUUGCACUGGGAAAGGGUACGCGGCGCUCAGGGAGCUGCAGCAGAAACAGGCCUGAGAUCUGGGGUCCUGCGGCACCUGGGCACAGCAAGUGCCCUGCAGUCGCUCCUCCUGGCCCUCCGUGGCUGGCCUUGUCCCUGAGUGGGGUCAGCGGCCCUGAGGGAGAGGCAGCCAGAGUAGUGGGUGAUAUGGGGACAAGCCUGUAAUAGUCACUCCUUAUCAGCCUGGCCCAACGCGGCAGGCCUUUCUUGGGCUUUAUUUUGGUAAGGGUGAGGCUUUGUUUGAACUCACAUUCUCUGUUGUUCUGAGUAACCACACGUAGUGCCAAACCGAGAUGGACUUUGGUGGUCUGUGCCAACCUUUGGCUGAAGAACACACUUAGCCGAGCGGCUCCUUUUUUGGGUAGGAAAAUGUUCUUUGUGGCUGGCAAGUGCUGCCUUGAACUUCCUACUUACUUCAUUAGCAGAUUGUCAGGGGAGAUGUGUCAGCUAUCCUGGGACCCCUUGGCGGGGCGGGGGGGGCGGGGGCAGCCCCCUCCCCAGCUCUGUACUCUGGGGCCCUCACCCCUGAAUCCUGGGAAAGCUUAGCACCUAAGAGUAAUCCUGCCGGCUUAAGACCCUCCCCUGCUGGGGUUUCUUUUUAAGGACCCGUGUGACAAGGUGCUGAUGAAUCAACGUUAUCACCUCUGUCAGGAAUAAUAAGUAAAUUUUUUGAGAGUUUAUGAAAUGCUGGGAACUAAGUUAGCAUUUGCUUGCAUGAUCUCAUUAUAUCUGUAAGACAGCAUUUCUGAAACUACUUGCUACAACCCAUAGUAAAAACUAUAUGGUACGCCAUGACCCAGGACACACAUGUAUAAACAUCCCAUAAAACUGAAGCAAAAGUUCCCAGAACUCAUACAAAACCUUACUAAGUGUAUUGUACUGGGAUAUUUUCUAUUCUAUUUCAACGUUUGGAAAGGUCAUGACUCGCCAAACUGCUUUCAGGAUCCACUGUGGGCACAGGUCAAGAAACGGAGCCCUGGAGGCCUGCACUGGCAUCAGCCUCUUCUGUGUGGUGGGAAACUCAAGUUCAGGGUCAGGUGGUUCGUCCACGUUCCUGCAGCCUGCAGAUGGCAGAGCCAGGACCCCACGCCAUCUCCAGUCCAGUCUUUAUCAGCCUGGGAGGUGGGCAGGGCCCCAGGAUUAUCCCCCUUUCACAGAUGGUAAAAUCGAGGAAGGAGUUGAGCAGGAUCUUGGCCAGAGCCGUGUGUGUUCCAGAGCUGUGUGUGUGGCAGAGCCGUACCUUGAAGUUGGGUUUCCACCUCGGCCUUUCACAGACACCCAGGGACCCCCUCCAGGCCCUGGGUCCCUGAGGACUCACAGCGUCCUUGGGACAGGCUGGCUCCUGUAUGAACAAAUGCACCUGCCUGCAAAGCUGGUCUUCCCAGACUCCCUGGAAGGGGGAGCCCACACCCGGGUCCCCGUGCUGUGGCCUCCGUGGUGAAGCUGGAUGUUUCUCUGGAAUGCCACGUUUUAUGGUUGUUUUUUAAUAUGGAUUUUGCUUCAUCUUUCAUAAAACAACCACAUGUAUUUUAGUAUAAAAAUAAUAUCUUACUCUAUAUUUGGAUGAAA